rnacentral:rRNA from 1 species
AGUGAACGCUGGCGGUAGGCCUAACACAUGCAAGUCGAACGGCAGCACACUAAUAGCUUGCUAUUACGGGUGGCGAGUGGAGGACGGGUGAGGAAUACAUCGGAAUCUACUUUUUCGUGGGGGAUAACGUAGGGCAACUUACGCUAAUACCGCAUACGAGCUACGGGUGAAAGCAGGGGGUCUUCUGGCCUGGCGCGGUUGAAGCAGCCGAUGUCGGAUUCGCUAGUUGGGGGGGUAAAGACCCCCCAAGGCGACGAUCCGUAGCUGGUCUGAGCGGAGGAUCAGCCACCCUGGAACGUGGCCACGGUCCAGACUCCUACGGCAGGCAGCAGUGGGCAACAUUGGACAAUGGGCGCAAGCCUGAUCCAGCCAUACCGCGUGUGUGAAGAAGGCCUUGGGGUUGUAAAGCCCUUCUGUUGGGAAAGAAAAGCAGCCGGUUAAUACCACGCUGUUCUGACGGUACCCACAGAAUAAGCACCGGCUAACUUCGUG